rnacentral:rRNA from 1 species
GACUGCAGGCUGAAACUCGCCUGCACGAAGUUGGAAUUGCUAGUAAUCGCGGAUCAGCAUGCCGCGGUGAAUACGUUCCCGGGUCUUGUACACACCGCCCGUCACACCAUGGGAGGCUGGUAACACCCGAAGUCAGUAGUCUAACCGCAAGGAGGACGCUGCCGAAGGUGGGAUUAGCGACUGGGGUGAAGUCGUAACAAGGUAAC